AGAUUAAGUUAUUAAGGGCGCACGGUGGAUGCCUUGGCACUAGAAGCCGAUGAAGGACGUUACUAACGACGAUAUGCUUUGGGGAGCUGUAAGUAAGCUUUGAUCCAGAGAUUUCCGAAUGGGGAAACCCAGCAUGAGUUAUGUCAUGUUAUCGAUAUGUGAAUACAUAGCAUAUCAGAAGGCACACCCGGAGAACUGAAACAUCUUAGUACCCGGAGGAAGAGAAAGAAAAUUCGAUUCCCUUAGUAGCGGCGAGCGAAACGGGAAGAGCCCAAACCAACAAGCUUGCUUGUUGGGGUUGUAGGACACUCUAUACGGAGUUACAAAGGACGACAUUAGACGAAUCAUCUGGAAAGAUGAAUCAAAGAAGGUAAUAAUCCUGUAGUCGAAAAUGUUGUCUCUCUUGAGUGGAUCCUGAGUACGACGGAGCACGUGAAAUUCCGUCGGAAUCUGGGAGGACCAUCUCCUAAGGCUAAAUACUCUCUAGUGACCGAUAGUGAACCAGUACCGUGAGGGAAAGGUGAAAAGCACCCCGGAAGGGGAGUGAAAUAGAACCUGAAACCGUGUGCUUACAAGUAGUCAGAGCCCGUUAAUGGGUGAUGGCGUGCCUUUUGUAGAAUGAACCGGCGAGUUACGAUUUGAUGCAAGGUUAAGCAGUAAAUGUGGAGCCGUAGCGAAAGCGAGUCUGAAUAGGGCGUUUAGUAUUUGGUCGUAGACCCGAAACCAGGUGAUCUACCCUUGGUCAGGUUGAAGUUCAGGUAACACUGAAUGGAGGACCGAACCGACUUACGUUGAAAAGUGAGCGGAUGAACUGAGGGUAGCGGAGAAAUUCCAAUCGAACCUGGAGAUAGCUGGUUCUCUCCGAAAUAGCUUUAGGGCUAGCCUCAAGUGAUGAUUAUUGGAGGUAGAGCACUGUUUGGACGAGGGGCCCCUCUCGGGUUACCGAAUUCAGACAAACUCCGAAUGCCAAUUAAUUUAACUUGGGAGUCAGAACAUGGGUGAUAAGGUCCGUGUUCGAAAGGGAAACAGCCCAGACCACCAGCUAAGGUCCCAAAAUAUAUGUUAAGUGGAAAAGGAUGUGGCGUUGCCCAGACAACUAGGAUGUUGGCUUAGAAGCAGCCAUCAUUUAAAGAGUGCGUAAUAGCUCACUAGUCGAGUGACACUGCGCCGAAAAUGUACCGGGGCUAAACAUAUUACCGAAGCUGUGGAUUGUCCUUUGGACAAUGGUAGGAGAGCGUUCUAAGGGCGUUGAAGCAUGAUCGUAAGGACAUGUGGAGCGCUUAGAAGUGAGAAUGCCGGUGUGAGUAGCGAAAGACGGGUGAGAAUCCCGUCCACCGAUUGACUAAGGUUUCCAGAGGAAGGCUCGUCCGCUCUGGGUUAGUCGGGUCCUAAGCUGAGGCCGACAGGCGUAGGCGAUGGAUAACAGGUUGAUAUUCCUGUACCACCUAUAAUCGUUUUAAUCGAUGGGGGGACGCAGUAGGAUAGGCGAAGCGUGCGAUUGGAUUGCACGUCUAAGCAGUAAGGCUGAGUAUUAGGCAAAUCCGGUACUCGUUAAGGCUGAGCUGUGAUGGGGAGAAGACAUUGAGUCUUCGNNNNNNNNNNNNNNNNNNNNNNNNNNNNNNNNNNNNNNNNNNNNNNNNNNNNNNNNNNNNNNNNNNNNNNNNNNNNNNNNNNNNNACAUUGAGUCUUCGAGUCGUUGAUUUCACACUGCCGAGAAAAGCCUCUAGAUAGAAAAUAGGUGCCCGUACCGCAAACCGACACAGGUAGUCAAGAUGAGAAUUCUAAGGUGAGCGAGCGAACUCUCGUUAAGGAACUCGGCAAAAUGACCCCGUAACUUCGGGAGAAGGGGUGCUCUUUAGGGUUAACGCCCAGAAGAGCCGCAGUGAAUAGGCCCAAGCGACUGUUUAUCAAAAACACAGGUCUCUGCUAAACCGUAAGGUGAUGUAUAGGGGCUGACGCCUGCCCGGUGCUGGAAGGUUAAGAGGAGUGGUUAGCUUCUGCGAAGCUACGAAUCGAAGCCCCAGUAAACGGCGGCCGUAACUAUAACGGUCCUAAGGUAGCGAAAUUCCUUGUCGGGUAAGUUCCGACCCGCACGAAAGGCGUAACGAUUUGGGCACUGUCUCAACGAGAGACUCGGUGAAAUCAUAGUACCUGUGAAGAUGCAGGUUACCCGCGACAGGACGGAAAGACCCCGUGGAGCUUUACUGUAGCCUGAUAUUGAAAUUCGGCACAGCUUGUACAGGAUAGGUAGGAGCCUUUGAAACGUGAGCGCUAGCUUACGUGGAGGCGCUGGUGGGAUACUACCCUAGCUGUGUUGGCUUUCUAACCCGCACCACUUAUCGUGGUGGGAGACAGUGUCAGGCGGGCAGUUUGACUGGGGCGGUCGCCUCCUAAAAGGUAACGGAGGCGCUCAAAGGUUCCCUCAGAAUGGUUGGAAAUCAUUCAUAGAGUGUAAAGGCAUAAGGGAGCUUGACUGCGAGACCUACAAGUCGAGCAGGGUCGAAAGACGGACUUAGUGAUCCGGUGGUUCCGCAUGGAAGGGCCAUCGCUCAACGGAUAAAAGCUACCCCGGGGAUAACAGGCUUAUCUCCCCCAAGAGUUCACAUCGACGGGGAGGUUUGGCACCUCGAUGUCGGCUCAUCGCAUCCUGGGGCUGUAGUCGGUCCCAAGGGUUGGGCUGUUCGCCCAUUAAAGCGGUACGCGAGCUGGGUUCAGAACGUCGUGAGACAGUUCGGUCCCUAUCCGUCGUGGGCGUAGGAAAUUUGAGAGGAGCUGUCCUUAGUACGAGAGGACCGGGAUGGACAUACCUCUGGUGUACCAGUUGUCGUGCCAACGGCAUAGCUGGGUAGCUAUGUGUGGACGGGAUAAGUGCUGAAAGCAUCUAAGCAUGAAGCCCCCCUCAAGAUGAGAUUUCCCAACUUCGGUUAUAAGAUCCCUCAAAGAUGAUGAGGUUAAUAGGUUCGAGGUGGAAGCAUGGUGACAUGUGGAGCUGACGAAUACUAAUCGAUCGAAGACUUAAUCAAAA
rnacentral:rRNA from 1 species